ACUUGAAAGUUGGGAUCUAAACCAUGCAGCAUGCCAAUGGCUCCUAACACACAACUCGUGAAAGAAGACGGUGAGAUAUUCGAAGAUCCAGAGAAAUAUAGGAGAUUGGUUGGGAAACUGAACUAUCUUACAGUAACUCGUCCCGAUAUCGCAUACUCUGUCAGCAUUGUGAGUCAGUUUAUGUCUUCCCCAACAGUCAGGCAUUGGGCGGCUCUGGAGCAGAUUCUUUGUUAUCUAAAGGGAUCUCCAGGACGGGGUCUAGUAUAUAAGAAUAAUGAACACACUAACAUUGAGUGUUUCACAGAUGCAGAUUGGGCAGGGUCAAAAGCCGAUAGGAGAUCCACGACAGGAUAUUGCGUUUUUGUUGGUGGAAACUUGAUUUCGUGGAAGAGUAAGAAACAAAAUGUCGUAUCUCGAUCUAGUGCGGAAGCAGAAUACAGAGCUAUGGCACAAUCUGUGUGUGAGGUUGUAUGGGUACAUCAACUAUUAAGUGAAGUUGGCUUCCAAACUACAUUGCCAGCAAAGUUGUGGUGUGAUAAUCAAGCUGCUCUUCAUAUCUCCUCUAAUCCUGUAUUUCACGAAAGGACUAAGCACAUUGAAAUAGAUUGUCACUUUGUUCGUGAAAAGAUUCAACAAAAGCUCAUCUCUACAGGUCAUGUUAGAACUGGAGAUCAAUUGGGAGACAUUUUCACAAAAGCUUUGAAUGGAGCUCGAGUUGAAUAUAUCUGUAACAAGUUGGGCAUGAUCAAUAUAUAUGCUCCAACUUGAGGGGGAGUGUUGACAUACAAGUUGUCUAGCACAUGUAUACACAUGUACUACAUCAUAGCUAGCACAUGUAUAUGAGUUGUAUAGUAGGUGUAAUUAGGUGUAUGGCAACUAAUAGAUUAGGUGAAUUAGUAUUAUAAAUAGGCCUUGUAAUCUUCUCUUCUAGAUAUGAAAUAUAGAACUUCUUUGGUUUCUAACAGACUUGUUAAAUAUACAUGUCCAUCAUGAGAAGUCAUAAAAGACUCAACCACUAACAUAUCAAAUAGCUAUUGGCUUCCACUUCUGCAGUAACUUCUUCAAAUCUGUUACAAAUUUAUGAAAGAGAAAUUAAAGACCACAGGCUUAUCAUUUUGAGUAGCUAUUGGCUUUUACUGUGUUUAAUCAUGCACAAGGCAUCUCGCGUUCAUGCAGGGUCAGGGAAGGGCCGUACCCCAAGAGAUGUGAUGUGGAUAACCUACCUUGCUGCGAGCAUUAGUGGUUUCUUCCACCGCUCGAACCCGUGACCUAUAGGUCACACGGAGACAACUUUACCGUUGCUCCAAGGCUCCCAUUCCAAGUUAUAAGGCAUCAUUAUCUCCAGCUUCAUACAAUAAUAAAAUUUAUUCUCUUUUUUAAGACAUCUAAUUGUUUGGUUGACUUACAAAUGUGAUCAUAAAAUUACAUCUUAAUCAGCAACUCAAAUCUUUUAUAUUCAGUAAGAUAUCAAGGCGCCUGACUAAAAGUGAGCAAAAGCUAGAGA